rnacentral:rRNA from 1 species
GACGAACGCUGGCGGCGUGCUUAACACAUGCAAGUCGAACGACGAACUUGGAGCUUGCUCUGGGGAUUAGUGGCGAACGGGUGAGUAACACGUGAGUAACCUGCCCUGGACUCUGGGAUAACUUCGAGAAAUCGGAGCUAAUACCGGAUAGGACCUUGCACCGCAUGGUGUGGGGUGGAAAGUUUUUCGGUUUGGGAUGGACUCGCGGCCUAUCAGCUUGUUGGUGAGGUAAUGGCUCACCAAGGCGUCGACGGGUAGACGGCCUGAGAGGGUGACCGGCCACACUGGGACGGAGACACGGCCCAGACUCCUACGGGAGGCAGCAGUGGGGAAGAUUGCACAAUGGGCGCAAGCCUGAUGCAGCAACGCCGCGUGCGGGAUGACGGCCUUCGGGUUGUAAACCGCUUUUAGUAGGGAAGAAGCCUUCGGGUGACGGUACCUGCAGAAAAAGGACCGGCUAACUACGUGCCAGCCGCCGCAGUAAGAC